rnacentral:rRNA from 1 species
GACGAACGCUGGCGGCGUGCUUAACACAUGCAAGUCGAACGAGAAGAGAUGAGAAGCUUGCUUCUUAUUAAUUCGAGUGGCAAACGGGUGAGUAACGCGUAAGCAACCUGCCCUUCAGAUGGGGACAACAGCUGGAAACGGCUGCUAAUACCGAAUACGUUCUUUUGUCGCAUGGCAGAGGGAAGAAAGGGAGGCUCUUCGGAGCUUUCGCUGAAGGAGGGGCUUGCGUCUGAUUAGCUAGUUGGAGGGUAACGGCCGACCAAGGCGACGAUCAGUAGCCGGUCUGAGAGGAUGAACGGCCACAUUGGGACUGAGACACGGCCCAGACUCCUACGGGAGGCAGCAGCGGGGAAUCUUGGUCAAUGGACGGAAGUCUGAACCAGCCAAGUAGCGUGCAGGACGACGGCCCUAUGGGUUGUAAACUGCUUUUA